UCAGACGAUGCGUCAUGCAUAUCAAUAAGCGGAGGAAAAGAAACUAACAAGGAUUCCCCUAGUAACGGCGAGUGAAGCGGGAAGAGCUCAAAUUUGAAAUCUUAAAGGGUUUCCCUUUACGAAUUGUAGUUUAAAGAAGUGUUUUCUGUUGAGGUUUUGGUAAAAGUUCUUUGGAAUAGGACAUCAUAGAGGGUGAGAAUCCCGUAUUUGACCUUUACUUUCAACUUUGUGAUACACUUUCAAAGAGUCGGAUUGUUUGGGAAUGCAGUCCAAAAUGGGUGGUAAAUUUCAUCUAAAGCUAAAUAUUGGCGAGAGACCGAUAGCGAACAAGUACCGUGAGGGAAAGAUGAAAAGAACUUUGAAAAGAGAGUUAAACAGUACGUGAAAUUGUCAAAAGGGAAGCGUUCGACACCAGUGUUGUUUUUCUGAAAAUCAAUUAAAGAACUGUUUAUGCUAAGCUGUUUAGACUUUAUCAGCUAUCUGUUUAGUUUUGAGCUUUUCUUUAAUGCACUUUUCAGUUAACAAGUCAACAUCAAUUUCUUUUGCUGUAAAAAAGCUUGAGGAAGGUGGCUUGAGAUUCGUCUUAAGUGUUUAUAGCCUCUUGCCUAUGCAGUCGGAGAGAUUGAGGUCUGCAGCGUAGAUCCUUCGGGGCUAAAUGCAUUUGUGCUAAGUUAUAGCAUUUCAUAGACAACUUGUUGACUAUGAUUUGUCUUGUAGCUUACUCGCUUAUGUUAUUUUACCUACGCUUAGGAUGUUGAAUCUGUGCGAGACUAC
rnacentral:rRNA from 1 species